rnacentral:lncRNA from 1 species
GCUGACAUCUGCAAUUGUUUGAAAAUAAUAUCAAAGCCAAGUGUCUUAUUCUCUCCAGGCAAUGGCUUGAGAGCUCUGUCUCUAACCAUCCUUUUUAUCUUUUUCUCCAAACGUCUCCUUGCCUUACAUUUUCCUUGUCAUCAUCACUACACCACUUUAAAAAUUCCUUAGAUAAAGUGCACAUGAGUCAACUGUGUACACUUAAAACUUCCUUAGCCGACAACAACGAUGUUUCAGGACCACGGACAGUGACACCGCAUGUUCCACUCACGGAGCUUUUUCCUUAGGCUCAGCCUAUAGAACAGGAGACAGACAUCACCGAGGAUACAGGAUGUGCUUCAAGAGGCUAGAGGCGAUAAAUGUAAAAAAUGCAGGCCAAAGGAUUAUCAGACAAGUUCAUCUCUUUAACAUUGAGAGGAUUCAUUUAUAGAUUUAUGGAGAAUCAGACUCAGUGUGUUUCUUCUCUCAUAAUCAUGGGACUAGUCAACUACAAUUAUGAAUCACCCAGACUAAGUUAUGCCGAGGUAAAAGAUAAUCACCAGAUCUCAGAGGGUUAUGUACUACCUCUGUUUUACAUUACUCUCCUUCUGAGACCCUAGCUACCUGCAAGGCCACUACCUGGAAUCUAAUUCAUUAUCAUUACGAGGGACAGAAAACAAUGAAUUGGUCUCUCCCAGGAAUAAUGUGUAUAUUGGAUCCUGCUAGUCACAUAGCUCACAUAACCACAAGGUGCUUUGAAGUUCAAAACUACCACAUGCUUGGGAGACAAGGAACCUGAAAUACGUGGUAAACAGUUCUAAUAACCACAGUGAAAAAAAAAAAUGUUAGGGCAGUAUUUCCUGACUGACUUCUCUCUACCAGUACUGAUUUCCA